GCCACCGACGGGACUGCGGGCAUCAAGGGCACCGUUCGUCCGUGCUGACCGUGACCGAGUGACGUAAUAGCGACGAAGUCUCGAGCUUACCCGAAUCAAACCAAUUCUCUCCCUCGUUCCCCAAUCACAGUAUUCACCGACUUCCACAAGCUUCCGAUUCCAAUUCUCCCGAUCGCUACCACCAUCAUGCCUUGAAACUCCGAAUCCGAACCGGGUUUCAUCGCCGUUCGAGCAUUGGAUCGUCCGCCCGGGAGCGAGAGAUGGCGGCCUCUCCGCCGAUCUUCAUCGAGGACUUCGGCCAGAAGGUCGACCUGACGCGGCGGAUCAGGGAGGUCCUGCUCAACUACCCCGAGGGCACGACGGUGCUGAAGGAGAUGAUCCAGAACGCCGACGACGCCGGCGCCACCACUGUGCGCCUGUGCUUGGACCGCCGCGUCCACGGCUCGGGGUCUCUCCUGUCGGAUUCCCUGGCGCAGUGGCAGGGCCCCGCCCUGCUGGCCUACAACGACGCUGUCUUCUCGGAGGAAGAUUUCGCCAGCAUUUCGAGGAUCGGCGGGAGUAGCAAGCAUUCGCAGGCGUGGAAGACUGGCCGCUUCGGGGUUGGCUUCAAUUCGGUGUACCAUUUAACUGAUUUGCCCUCUUUCGUGAGUGGGAAGUAUGUUGUGUUGUUCGAUCCUCAGGGUGUUUAUCUUCCUCAAGUGUCUGCAGCAAAUCCUGGAAAAAGGAUCGACUUUGUCAAUUCUUCAGCUAUUUCAAUAUAUAACGAUCAGUUUUCUCCAUAUUGUGCAUUUGGUUGUGACAUGCAAAGUUCGUUUUCUGGAACUUUGUUUCGGUUUCCACUGAGAAAUGUAGUUCAGGCUGUUGACAGUAAGCUUUCUAGGCAAGCUUAUGAGGAGGAUGAUAUCUGUUCAAUGUUCGCUCAGCUGUAUGAGGAGGGAGUUCUAACGCUGCUUUUUCUUAAGAGCGUUCUGUCUAUUGAAAUGUAUAUCUGGGAUGUUGGACAAAAUGAACCUAUGAAGCUUUAUUCUUGUUCUGUUUGUUCUGUGAAUAGCGAGACAAUUUUGCAUCGACAGGCAUUUCUUACCAUGUCAAAAUCAGUUGAUUCUCAAGAUAGCGAGAUGGAUUCUUUCUCACUGGACUUCCUGAGUGAAGCAUCCAAUGGGAAUAAUUUUGAGAAGAAGAUAGAUCAAUUCUACAUAGUUCAAGCAAUGGCGUCCAGAUCUAGUAGAAUUUGUUCUUUUGCAUCAACUGCUUCAAGAGAAUAUGACAUGCACCUUCUGCCGUGGGCAUCAGUUGCAGCCUGCAUAUCACCAUCUGAUACAAGUGUUCUCAAGCUCGGUGGUGCAUUUUGUUUUCUUCCAUUGCCUGUGAGAACUGGACUGUCAGUGCAAGUCAAUGCAUACUUUGAGGUGUCAUCAAAUCGUCGUGGAAUUUGGUAUGGAGAUGAUAUGGAUAGAAGUGGGAAAGUGCGUUCUGUCUGGAACAGGCUUCUUCUGGAAGAUCUUGUAGCACCUAUUUUUGCGCGGUUGCUGCUUGGUGUUCGAGAGGUACUUGGUCCAACCGAUUUAUACUAUUCCUUGUGGCCUGUUGGUCAAUUUGAAGAGCCAUGGAACAUUUUAGUCGAGUGCAUAUUCAGAAACAUUGCCAAUGUCCCUGUGCUAUAUUCUGAGAUUCAAGGAGGAAAUUGGGUCUCACCUUCUGAGGCUUUUCUUCAUGAUGCAGAAUUUGCUGGAAGUAAAGAACUUGGGGAAGCCUUGAUUCAGCUAGGAAUGCCCAUUGUCUCUUUGUCGCAUCAAUUGUUUACUAUGAUCUUGAGUUAUGCGUCCAUUUUUCACCAGAAAGUAGUCAAUCCACAUAAUGUACGGCAGCACCUGAAAGGAUGCAGAAUUCUAGGAUCCUUGAGCAAAUCUGCCAAACUUGUUUUGUUGGAAUAUUGUCUUGAAGACUUGAUCGAUGCUGAUGUUGGCACUCAUGCUUAUGACAUUCCUUUGCUUCCUCUCGCAAAUGGUGACUUUGGUUCAUUAUCAGAUGCCUCAAAAGGGUCGUGUUACUUUGUCUGCAACGAAGUUGAGUUCGCGCUGCUUCAGAAAGUCUUGGAUAGAGUGAUUGAUCGCAAUAUCCCUCUCCACUUACUAGGCAGACUUACGUCUAUUGCUAAAUCCUCAAAGGCCAAUCUUACUCUUUUCAACAUUGAUCAUCUCAUACAAUUAUUUCCCGGCUUUGUACCGGGGGAUUGGAAGUACAAGAACACUGUGGUCUGGGACCCAGAGAAUUGUCGAGACCAACCGACUCCCUCAUGGUUUUUGUUGUUUUGGCAGUAUGUUAAAGCUGAGUGUGAAAACUUGUCUUUGUUUAGUGAAUGGCCAAUUUUACCGUCCACAUCUGGUCAUCUGUGUAGAGCUUCUAGAAUAUCAAGGCUGAUCAGGGGGAACAAUUUGAGUGACAAGAUGCAAGAUAUCCUAGCAAAGAUUGGAUGCAAGAUACUCAAUCCUGACUUUGGGGUUGAACAUCACAAUUUGUCGCACUUUUUAUGGGAAAGUGACAUCACAGGUAUUCUGGAAUCUAUUUUUGACUCUAUUUCUUCUAACGGUGGAAUGACUCAAACUUUUCAGAAUGUCGGAGCAGAAGAAAGGGAUGUUCUUCGAAUAUUUCUUCUCGACUUUAAGCGGUACAUUGGAGGUUGUGUGAAUGAUCUUGACCUUCAAAAGUGCAGGAAGCUUCCAAUUUACAAGGUAUAUUCGGCAGAAUCUGACCUGAAUUUUGAGUAUGCCGACUUAGAAGUUCCUCAUAAGUACUUACCCCCAUUGGAUGUCCCAGAGAGCUUUCUGGGAGUUGAGUUUAUUAUGAUCUCUUCAACAACUGAAGAGGAGGUCCUUUCAAAGUAUUAUGGAAUCAAGAGAAUGGGAAAGGCACGUUUUUACAGGGAGCAGGUCUUUUGUAGACUCAGGGACUUGCAACCUGAAAUCCGUGAUGGCCUUAUGCUUUCGGUUUUGAAGAAUCUGCCACAAUUGUGUCUUGAGGACCCUUUUCUGAGGGAAUGCUUGAGAAGUUUGGAAUUUGUUCCAACUAAGAGUGGUUUGAUCAAAUGUCCUUCAGUAUUAUAUGAUCCUCGUGUAGAAGAAACAUAUGCUUUGCUGGAAAAUUCUGACUGUUUUCCGCAUGUUUCUUUUCGAGAAUCUGAGAUUUUGGACAUGCUGCAAGGUUUGGGUCUAAGGACAUCUAUUUCCCCUGAGACAAUAAUUGAAAGUGCCCGACAGGUGGAGAGGUUGGUCCAUGAGGAUCCACAGAAGGCAUAUUACAGAGGCAAAGUGCUGCUUUCUUUUCUAGAGGUGAAUGCAAUGAAGUGGCUGCCAGAUAAGUUGGAGGAUGAACAGGGAAAGGUAAAUAACAUAUUUUCUCUUGCUGCUACUGCAUUCAGGCCUCGCAACUUGAAGUCUGACCUCGAAAAGUUUUGGAUUGAUCUUCGAAUGAUCUGCUGGUGCCCCGUUCUGGUAUCUGCCCCAUUUAAGUGUUUGCCUUGGCCUGUUGUCUCUUCCAAUGUGGCUCCUCCAAAGCUUGUACGUUUGGAGAGAGACCUGUGGCUUGUUUCUGCAAGCAUGCGGAUACUGGAUGGGGAGUGCUCAUCCACUGCCCUGUCACAUGGGCUUGGAUGGUCUUCCCUGCCUGGGGGAAGUGUGAUUGCUGCCCAGCUUCUCGAACUUGGGAAAAAUAAUGAGACUGUGGAUGACCUGGUGCUCCGGCAAGAAUUGGCUUUGGCUAUGCCGAGGAUAUAUUCAUUAUUGAAAGGUCUGGUUGGCACAGAUGAAAUGGACAUUGUAAAGGCUGUUCUUGAAGGGAGUAGGUGGAUUUGGGUCGGAGAUGGAUUUUCAACUUCAGAUGAGGUUGUCCUUGAUGGUCCUCUUCAUUUGGCUCCUUAUAUUCGUGUCAUACCUGUUGACUUAGCUGUGUUUGGAGAAUUGUUCUUAGAGCUUGGUGUUAGGGAGUUCUUGAAGCCUAUUGAUUAUGUUAAUAUCCUACACAGAAUGGCCAUGCGAAAAGGUUUCUUGCCUCUUGAUCCCGGGGAAAUCAGGGCUGCCAUUCUGAUUGUGCAACAUCUAUCUGAAGUUCAGAUCCAGGAACAAGUUAAGAUAUACUUACCAGAUGUCUCUGGCAGACUCUUCCCUUCAAGCGAAUUGGUUUAUAAUGAUGCUCCCUGGUUGCUAAGCCCGGAUUAUUCUGAUAGCUCAUUUGGUAGUGGAUCUAACUCUGUCUUCAAUGCAAAGACAAGGGUGCAAAAAUUUGUUCAUGGAAAUAUUUCAAAUGAUGUUGCAGAGAAGCUUGGUGUUUGCUCUCUCCGGAGGAUCUUGCUAGCUGAGAAUGCUGAUUCCAUGAAUUUAAGUUUAUACGGAGCUACUGAAGCUUUUGGACAGCAUGAAGCCUUGACAACGAGACUUAAACAUAUUCUGGAAAUGUAUGCAGAUGGACCAGGAGUCCUCUUUGAACUGGUCCAGAAUGCAGAGGAUGCGGGUGCUUCUGAGGUGACAUUUCUCUUGGAUAAAACGCAGUAUGGGACUUCUUCUGUUCUCUCUCCCGAAAUGGUAGAAUGGCAGGGCCCUGCAUUAUGCUGCUUUAAUGACUCUGUUUUUAGUCCACAAGAUCUAUAUGCCAUCUCACGAAUUGGUCAGGAAAGCAAACUAGAAAAGCCUUUUGCUAUUGGAAGAUUUGGGCUGGGAUUUAAUUGUGUAUACCAUUUUACAGACAUUCCUGCAUUUGUUUCGGGGGAAAAUCUCGUCAUGUUUGAUCCCCAUGCCCAUAACUUGCCCGGGGUCACUCCUUCUCAUCCUGGCUUGCGAAUCAGGUUUGCAGGGAGAAAUAUUCUUGAACAAUUCCCUGAUCAGUUCUCUCCUUUCUUGCACUUUGGCUGUGACUUGCAACAUCCAUUUCCGGGUACCUUUUUCCGCUUUCCCCUUAGGAGUGCAACUGUUGCUUCUAGAAGCCAAAUAAAGAAAGAAACUUACACUCCUGAAGAUGUCAUGUCUCUCUUUGUUUCCUUCUCUGAGGUUGUUUCUGAUGCUUUGCUUUUCUUACACAAUGUCAAAACUGUUAAUAUUUUUGUCAAGGAGGGAAGUGGUCAUGAGAUGCAACUUUUCCAUCGUGUGCAAAAGCAUAUUAUCCAAGAGCCCCCAGCAGAACAUCAGGCAUUGCAUCAGAUCUUUAACUUUAUUGAUGGAAAUAAACACAGUGGAAUGGAUAAAGGUCAGUUUGUUAGAAAAUUGGUUGAAUCUAUCGGUGAGGAUCGCCCUUGCAGAUAUCAAAAGGUUAUUGUCAGGGAGCAAGGCUCGUGUGGAGCUCUAUCACACUUCUGGAUCACCAGUGAAUGUUUGAGUAGCGGGAGACCUAAGAAUAGCUUAGCAGCCUCUACUGGAAAGUCUGCAAAUUUUGUUCCUUGGGCUUGUGUCGCUGCUCAUCUACAUUCAGAAACAGUGGAAGAUAAAAAUGAUUUUGAUUCUUGGAAGGAGGAUGCUUCCUUGGCCACCCCGGAGCUAUUUCAAGUAGCUGUGGCAUCAACUAAGGGUAAGCAGGAUUUUGAGGGCCGUGCCUUCUGUUUUCUUCCACUUCCUAUCAGCACAGGUCUUCCUGCGCAUGUUAAUGCAUAUUUUGAGUUGUCAUCAAACAGGAGAGACAUUUGGUUUGGGAAUGACAUGGCAGGGCAUGGUAAAAAACGCUCUGACUGGAAUCUUUACCUGCUUGAGGAUGUGGCUGCCCCAGCUUAUGGUCACUUGCUUGAGAAACUUGCAGUAGAGAUAGGUCCAUGUGAUUUGUUCUUCUCAUUUUGGCCAACGGCGGUAAGAUCAGAACCUUGGGUAUCAAUGGUGCGCGAACUGUAUGCUUCCAUUGCUAACUUUGGUUUUCGUGUAUUGCACACAAAUGCUAGGGGGGGCCAGUGGAUAGCAGCCAGACAAGCUCUUUUUCCUGAUUUUAAUUUUCAUAAGGCACAUGAGCUGGUUGAAGCAUUGUCGGAUGCUGGUUUACCUUUAGUGAUGGUUUCUGAGCCUAUUGUGGAGAAAUUUGCAGAGACCUGCCCUUCACUGCACUUCCUUACACCUCAUUUUCUGAGGUCCUUGUUGAUUCGACGGCGACGAAAUUUCAGCAAUAGAAAUGGAGUUAUUUUGACCCUUGAGUAUUGUUUGCUUGAUCUAAAUGGAACAGUUAAAACUGAGAAUCUGUAUGGUUUGCCUCUUUUGCCUCUUGCUGAUGGUUCAUUUACAACUUUUGACAAGAACAGGGUUGGGGAAAGAAUUUACAUUGCCCAAGGAGAAGAAUACGGCCUUUUGAAAGAUUUCCUUCCACAUCAACUAGUUGAUUCUGGGAUUCCAGAAGAAGUUCAUGUUAAGCUCUGUGAUAUAGCUAAAAGGGGAGACUCAAAUUUGUCAUUUCUCUCGAGCCAUUUGCUUGAGAAACUUUUUGUGAAAUUUUUACCAGCCGAAUGGCAGUAUGCUACACAGGUCAACUGGUCGCCUGAUCUUGAAGGCCACCCAAGUAUCGAAUGGGUGAAUCUAUUUUGGAGCUACUUAAAGUUAAGUUGUCAUGACCUGUCAUUGUUUUCCAAGUGGCCCAUACUGCCUGUUGGCAGCAAUUUUCUUUGUCGACUCACAGAAAAUUCCAAUGUGUUAAUAAAUCAUGGGUGGAGCGAGAAUAUGUCCUGUCUAUUGGUGAAAGUAGGAUGUCAGUUCUUAAGACCUGACAUGAUAAUUGAACAUCCACAGCUGGACCAGUUUGUACGACCUCCAACAGCGACCGGCAUAUUAAAAGCUUUUAUUUCUAUUGCUGGGAAGCCUGAGAAUAUCCAUAGCCUUUUCAGUGAUGUGUCAGAAGGUGAGCUACAUGAACUGAAGAGUUUCAUUCUUCAGUCCAAGUGGUUUUUUGAGGAGCAAGUGGAUGACCACCAUAUCAGUAUUAUCAGAUCCCUUCCGAUUUUUGAAUCAUAUAGAAGCAGAAAACUUGUCAGCUUGAAUAGUCCAAUUAAAUUGCUUAAACCUAAUGGUGUACGUGAUGAUCUUCUGAAUGAUGACUUUGUGCGUACAGAGACAGAGAGAGAAAAAAUCAUUCUGAAAAGGUACUUAGAAGUUCAAGAGCCAGAAAAGUUGGAAUUCUACAAGGAUUAUGCACUCAAGCACAUGUCAGAGUUUGUUAAUCGGCCAGAAGCUAUAUCAGCAAUACUGCAUGACAUUAAGCUUUUGAUUGAUGAGGAUAAUUGUAUUAAAUCUAUUCUUUGUGCAAUACCUUUUGUUUUGGCAGUGGACGGAUGUUGGCUUGAGCCAUCCAGGCUUUACGAUCCUCGUGUGUCUGAGCUGCAGAAGGUACUGCAUAUAGAAGCUUUCUUUCCUUCUGAGAAAUUUUCUGAUCCUGAUAUUUUGGACAUCUUAGUUGAUCUUGGACUUCGAAGAACGUUUAGUUAUACUACUUUGCUUGAUUGCGCAAGAUCAGUAUCACUGCUCCACAAUAGGGGAAAUUUGGAGGCUGUUAACUAUGGCACAAAGCUGCUUGGCAUGCUAGAUAAUAUAGCAUGUAAAAUCUCUGGUGAUGGAGGGGGAAGAUCUUCUGAUGAGUUCUCCAAUUUGAGCAUACUUCCUGGCAAUGGUGGAUUUUAUGGAAGUAACAAUAAUUUUGACUCCGAUAGAGAUGAAGAGAAAGUAGACCCUGUUUCAUUCUUUGACACAGUGAUUGAUGAUAUAUCAGAAGAAGAGUUCUGGUCUGAUUUGAAGGGUAUUGCAUGGUGUCCUAUUUGUUUGGAUCCACCGUUUGCGGGCUUUCCCUGGCUGAAAUCCACCAUUCAAGUGGCUGCACCAAGCAUUGUGAGGCCUAAAUCACAGAUGUGGAUAAUUUCUUCAACAAUGCACAUACUAGAUGGUGAUUGUUUCUCGAUGUACUUGAUAGGUAAACUUGGUUGGAUGGAUCCUCCAAAUGUAACAGUCCUAUUGACGCAGUUGAUUGAGAUAUCCAAGUUUUAUGGUCAACUUGAAUUACAUUCUUCUGUGGAACCUGUUUUUCGUGAUGCUCUACAAGAUGGAGUCCUAUCCCUCUAUAGAAAAUUACAAAAGUUUAUUGGUACUGAUGAUUUUGAGGUGCUAAAAUCAGGACUUGAUGGUAUUUCCUGGAUCUGGACAGGAGAUAGUUUUGUACCAGCAAGUGCCCUGGCUUUUGAUUCACCAGUGAAGUUCUAUCCUUAUCUAUAUGUUGUUCCAUCUGAACUGGUGGAAUUUAGGGACUUGCUCUUGGCGUUAGGUGUUAAACCUAGUUUUGAUUUUCGAGAUUACCUUCGUGUUCUACAACAUUUGGGCAAUGAUUUGAAAGGCUCUACGUUAUCAUUAGAUCAGUUAAACUUUGUUGUGCGUAUACUAGAAGCUGUUGCUGAUCAUUGCUUGGAUAUACCUCUCUCUGAGUCAUCUAGAACCUCCAUCUUGGUUCCAGAUUCUUCAGGAUCUUUGAGGUGGGCUGGGGACCUUGUUUAUAAUGAUGCACCUUGGAUCGACACUAGUAAUCUUCUAGAGAAACGGUUUGUGCAUGAUUGUAUCAGCAAUGAUUUGGCAAGCAAAUUGGGCAUCCAAUCACUUCGCUGCCUCUCGUUAGUGGAUGAAGAGACAACUAGAGAUCUACCAUGCAUGGAUUAUGGCAAAGUAAAGGAGCUUUUGGCCUUUUUUGGGGGUGGUGACUUUUUAUUGUUUGACCUCCUUGAAUUGGCAGAUUGCUGUAAGGCUAAGAAACUGCAUCUGAUGAUUGACAAACGAAAACAUGCUUGCCAGUCUCUGAUGCAGCAUAAUCUUGCGGAGUUCCAAGGCCCUGGUUUAGUGGCUAUUCUUGAAGGAGUUACUUUGAGUACUGAUGAAAUAAGCAGUCUUCAACUUCGCCCUCCAUGGAGGUUGUGUGGUGAUACCCUAAAUUAUGGUUUGGGAUUGUUAAGCUGUUACACUCUCUGUGAUCUCCUAUAUGUCAUCUCUUCGGACUACUUUUAUAUGUUUGAUCCACGUGGUUUAGCUCUCGGUGCACCUUCAAGUUGUGCUCCAGCAGCAAAAGCUUUUUCAUUGAGAGGUACUAAUUUGACUGCACGAUUUCGUGAUCAGUUCAGUGCUUUGCUGCUUGAUGAAGAUGAACUGUGGUCACCAUCUGGUUGUACUUUGGUCCGCAUGCCCUUUUCACAAGAAUGCAUGAAGGAUGGACUUGAAAUGGGAUUGAGGAACAUUGAACUGAAAAUUGACAAAUUUUUGGAGCAUGCAUCAAGAGUUCUUCUGUUUUUGAAGUCAGUCUUGCAGGUAACAAUCUCAGCAUGGGAGGAAGGAAAUGCAAAGCCAUCAGAGCAGUACUCAGUUUCUGUUGAUUCAUCAUAUGCUGUCAGUAGAAACCCCUUUUCAGAGAAGAAGUGGAGAAAAUUUCAGAUAUCAAGGUUAUUUAGCAGCUCAAACACAAGUACAAAAGUUCAAAGUAUCGAUGUGAUUGUCCGUAAAGGAGCUACUAGAGUUGUUGACAGAUGGCUUGUUGUGCUCAGCCUUGGUUCUGGCCAGACUAGAAAUAUGGCUCUUGAUAGGAAGUAUAUGGCAUACAAUCUUACACCUGUUGCUGGAGUUGCUGCGCAUGUGUCCCACGAUGGUCAUCCUGUUAUUUGUCCAGGAAGCUCCAUUUUGUCACCUCUUCCUUUGUCUAGUGAUAUAUGCUUACCAGUCACAGUCCUCGGUUGUUUCCUCGUCUGCCACAACAAAGGUCGUUAUCUCUUCAAGUACCAAGAUAAGAAGGAAUUGGUUGAUGCAGUGCUUGAUGCUGGAGAUCAGUUAAUUGAGACUUGGAAUAGAGAAUUGAUGUCAUGCGUCCUUGAUUCAUAUACUGAAAUGGUGAUGGAAUUGCAAAAGUUGAGGAGAGAACCUUCAAGUUCUGUUAUAGAACCUGGUUUAGCCCAUACACUUAGUUUGUCUGUGAUGGCCUAUGGGGAUCAGAUAUAUUCUUUUUGGCCAAAGUCUGCUCUGACAGAUCAACAUACCAGUGAAAGUGGUUUGCUGGCAAUUAAUGGACCCAGAGCUGAUUGGGAAUGCGUAGUGCAGCAAUUGAUAAGGCCCUUCUACGCUCGUGCAGUUGACCUCCCUGUGUGGCAGCUAUACUCGGGUAAUCUGGUAAAAGCUAGUGAGGGAAUGUUUCUUUCACAGCCGGGGAGUGCUGUGGCUGGUAACCUGCUUCCUGCCACAGUUUGUGACUUUGUCAAGGAGCAAUAUCCAGUUUUCUCUGUAUCAUGGGAAUUGGUGGCUGAGAUUCAGUCCAUUGGUGUUACAGUUCAAGAAAUUAAACCGAAGAUGGUGCGCGACCUCCUAAGAGUUCGUUCAUCAUCUCCUGUUCUUCGGUCUGUUGACACCUAUGUGGAUGUUAUGGAGUACUGCUUAUCCGAUAUUCAUUUGACAGAACUGACUAGUUCUAAUGAAGACGGUACAUCAGUGGGAGGGAGUAAUAACCAUUCCAUUUCUAGCACAUCUACUUCUGCAGGCGCUGGUGCUGCAUCUUUGUCGAUUUCUAAUGUCCGAAGUCCAAAUGAAUCUGCUCAUGGUACCAGUAGUUCCGGAGAUGCACUUGAAGUGGUGACAAGUUUGGGGAAAGCUUUAUUUGAUUUUGGUAGAGGAGUUGUUGAAGAUAUUGGCAGAGCUGGAGGGCCCUCAAUUUCUAGGAACAGCAAUUUGGCUAUUUCUAAUGGCAGCAAUGGAAUCGUAAACCAUAAACUGCUUUUAGCAGCUGCAGAACUUAAAGGCUUACCAUGUCCAACAGCGGCAGAACAACUUUCUAGGCUGGGAAUGACUGAAUUGUGGCUUGGAAGCAGAGAACAACAGGUGCUGAUGGUUCCUUUGGCCGCAAAAUUUAUCCAUGCAAAAGUAAUGGAUCGAUCUAUCUUGAUUGAAAUCUUUUCAAAUUCCACUCUUCAAUAUUUGUUAAAAUUGCAAAGUUUCUCUCUUCCGCUACUUUCUAGGCAUAUGAAGUUACUUUUCCAUGAGAAUUGGGUGGCUCGUGUUAUGGCGACGAACCUGGCUCCCUGGUUUUCGUGGAAAAAUACACCUGGUUCUGGUAGUGAGGAAGGCCCUUCCCCUGAAUGGAUAAAACUUUUCUGGAAGAACUUCAAUGGCUCAUGGUCAGACCUUUCUCUGUUUUCUGAUUGGCCCCUGAUACCUGCUUUUCUUGGAAGGUCAAUUUUGUGCCGCGUAAGGGAAAGUCAUCUCAUCUUUAUUCCUCCACCACUGACAGAUCCAUCUUCCUUGGAAAUUGUUGAUUCUGAAGAUAAUAAUACGAAAUUUGUUCUAAACAGCCCUUCUGAAUCUAUUUCAACUCUUCCCUACAUUACUGCAUUCGAAGCUGCAAAAUGUAAAUAUCCAUGGUUGCUGUCCCUGUUGAACCAGUGCAAUAUACCUACAUUCGACACAGCUUUUAUUGAGUGUGCUGCUUCUUGCAACUGUCUCCCUCCACCGGGUCACUCACUUGGGAAAGUCAUCGCGUCCAAGUUAGUUGCAGCUAGAAAGGCUGGCUAUUUUCCUGAACUUACAUCCUUUUCGGCUUCUGACAGAGAUGAACUCUUUAGCCUUUUUGCUAAUGAUUUCUUGUCCAAUCACUCCAUCUAUGAUGCAGAAGAACUUGAAGCACUACGUUUGCUGCCUAUUUAUAAAACGGUUGCUGGAGCAUAUUCGGCAUUGUGCAAUGAAAACCAUUGUAUCGUAUCUUCUAAUUCAUUUCUUAAGCCCUCUCAUGAGCAUUGCCUUGCUUACAAUACAGAAUCCACUGAAGGUCAAUUACUUCGAGCACUUGGUAUCCCUGAGUUGCAUAAUCAACAGAUUUUGGUAAGGUUUGCCUUACCUGGGUAUGCCAAGAAACCUCAGGCUGAGCAGGAGGAUAUACUUAUCUAUAUAUACAUGAAUUGGCAAGAUAUUCAGGUGGAAUCUAGUAUAAUUGAGUCUUUGAAAGAGAGUAAAUUUAUCAGAAGUGCUGACGAGUUCUCCCCAGAUCUUUUUAUGGCUAAGGAUUUGUUUGAUCCAAGUGAUGCAUUAUUGGCAUCUGUGUUCUCCGGUGAGAGGAGAAAAUUUCCUGGAGAAAGGUUUUCUACAGAUGGUUGGCUUCGCAUCUUACGGAAAAUAGGUUUACGAACUGCGACAGAAGCAGACAUAAUACUUGAAUGUGCGAAAAGAGUCGAGUAUUUAGCAACUGAAUGGGUGAAUGGUGCAGGGGAUUCAGAUGAUAUUGGGACAGACUUGGUGAACUCUCAGAAUGGAGUUCCUAUGGAAAUAUAUGCAUUGGCUGGAUCUGUUGUUGAUUCUAUUUUCGCUAACUUCGCUGUCCUAUAUGGUAACAACUUUUGCAAUAAUCUCGGCAAGAUUGCGUGCAUUCCUACUGAGCUGGGUUUUCCAAGUGUUGCUGGCAGGAAAGGUGGCAAAAGAGUGCUUAGUUCAUAUAGUGAUGCUAUUCUGUUGAAAGAUUGGCCUUUGGCUUGGAGUGGCUCUCCCAUUUUGACCAGACAAAGUUUUAUUCCACCUGAAUACUCUUGGGGAUCACUUUACCUAAAAAGCCCUCCAGAUUUCUCGAGAGUUUUGAAACAUUUGCAGGUUAUUGGAAGAAAUGGAGGUGAAGACACACUUGCUCACUGGCCGAUAGCAUCUGGCAUGAUGACAGUUGAUGAUGCAACCCUAGUGAUUCUGAAAUACCUGGAUAAGGUGUGGGAUUCCCUUUCUUCUUCAGAUAUAACGGAACUGCAGAAGGUGGCAUUUUUGCCUGCUGCCAAUGGUACACGCUUGGUGACAGCUGAUUCUCUGUUUGUGCGUCUCACAAUUAACUUGUCCCCAUUUGCUUUUGAACUUCCUUCUAUAUAUCUUCCUUAUAUUAAGCUUCUUAAAGAUUUGGGACUUCAAGACAUGCUCUCAGUUGCAUCAGCAAAGAGUCUUCUCUCAGAUCUCCAGAAAACUUGUGGAUAUCAGCGUCUAAAUCCAAAUGAAUUUCGUGCUGUGAUAGAAAUUUUGUAUUUCUUCUCUGAUGGGAUUGAUGAUGUGAACGUCACUGAUAGCAUUGCGUUGAAAUCAGAAGCAGUAGUCCCUGACGAUGCCUGUCGACUUGUGCAUGCACAGUCAUGUGUAUACAUUGAUUCUCAUGGCUCCCAAUUUGUCAAAUAUAUUAAUACUUCAAGGUUAAGAUUUGUUCAUCCUCAUAUUCCUGACAAGAUAUGUGAAGCCCUUGGCAUCCGAAAACUGUCUGAUGUUGUUAUUGAGGAACUCUGUCACAGAGAGCAGUUGCAAACUUUGGACUGCAUCGGGUCAGUUCCAUUAGCAGCCAUCAGAGAUAGAUUGUCCAGCCCAUCUCUUCACAGUGCUAUUUGUACUGUUGUAAAAAGCAUGUCCAGAUAUCUACCUGCACUUAGUCAUCUGAAUUUGGAACUUAUACAAAGAACCUUAGACACUGUGGCUGGAAAAUUGCAGUUUGUAAAGAGCCUCAAUACGCAGUUUGUUCUUCUCCCUGGUCAUAUUGAAAUUACACGGGUAGACAAGGAAUCCUAUUUUCCUGGGUGGGAGGGUGGAUCUCCCCAUCGAACUCUUUACUUUGUUGACCAGGCAAAGGCUUCCAUUAUGAUCGCUGAGCCUCCAGCAUGUAUUUCUGUACUUGAUGUCAUUGCAAUUGUUGUGAGCCAGGUUUUAGGUUCCCCUAUCCCAUUGCCAAUUGGAUCUUUGUUUUUAAGUCCUGAAGGUUCUGAAUCUAUUGUUAUCGAUGUUAUGAAAAUAUGUUCCGACAAGAGAGAACUUGAACAAAGACACUGGAGCAAUAGUUUGCUAGGAAAAGAAAUACAGCCUCAAGAUGCCAUGCAAGUGCAGUUUCACCCGUUGAGACCCUUCUAUAGAGGAGAGAUAGUGGCUUGGAGGUUGCAGAAUGGGGAAAAGUUGCGAUAUGGUAGAGUUCCAGAAGAUGUAAGUCCAUCGGCAGGGCAGGCACUGUACAGAUUGAAGGUGGAAACGAUGGCUGGAGUGACAGAACUGCUUUUGUCUUCACAAGUCUUCUCUUUCAAAAAUAUUUCUAUGGGAGUGGCGGGUUCAUCAGCAUGCUUACAGGAUGAUGCCUCUGCAGUUAUUGGUAGAAGGACUCAUAUGGAGAUUUCAGAAAAUUCUAGGACAGAAAGAACGAGAUCCUCACAGUCUUGUCAAGAACUUCAAUAUGGCCAAGUUUCUGCUGGAGAGCUGGUUCAAGCAGUUCAGGAGUUGCUUUCUGCUGCAGGGAUUCAUAUGGAUGUGGAGAAGCAGUCUCUCCUGCAAAAUACCAUAUCCCUGCAGGAACAACUCAAGGAAUCUCAAGCAGCACUUCUAAUUGAACAGGAGAAGGCUGAUGUGGCUUCUAAAGAAGCUGACAUGGCCAAGGCGGCGUGGGUUUGUCGGGUAUGUUUGAGUGGUGAAGUGGAUGUUGCCAUUGUUCCAUGUGGCCAUGUCCUCUGCCGUAGAUGCUCGUCUGCUGUUUCAAGGUGCCCAUUCUGUCGUCUUCAGGUGAUGAAAACUAUGAGAAUAUUUCGGCCAUGAUAGUGAAGAUCCAAGGCUGAAAUUAUGGAAAUCCUCACACUCUUCGCUGCAUAAAAGGGACCUGGAUUUGUGGCAAGAGCAUCCUCACGACUUUGUAAUUAGUGAUUCUAGAACUAUAGAUGGCAAUUUAUUGUUGUUAAUAUGAAACUGGGGCGGGCAAGCCGCCCAGUAGACGGAAGCAGCAUGAACCUAUGUUUAGUUCGAUUGUCUUCGGUUAAGACUUGAUUGGAAGGGACGGAGUCACCCUCGUGGUAUGUUGUCUCUUUCAAGUUGUAUAAAAUCUUCGUUGUUAAUAAUAAGUAAAUGGCAUGACAGAUUCAUUUGAAAAA